CUUGGUCAUUUAGAGGAAGUAAAAGUCGUAACAAGGUUUCCGUAGGUGAACCUGCGGAAGGAUCAUUAGUGAUUAAACUGUUGCCCUCUGUGCUGGCUCUGCAAGUGCACGUCGGUGACUUUCAUUCCAAUACCCUUGUGAACCUUUGGCCUCUUGCUAGCUUCGGCUGGCAGAGGAUUCUACAUACAAACUCGCAUGUAAUGAAACUCUUGUUGUGCACAAGCACUACUAUACAACUUUCAACAACGGAUCUCUUGGCUCUCGCAUCGAUGAAGAACGCAGCGAAAUGCGAUAAGUAAUGUGAAUUGCAGAAUUCAGUGAAUCAUCGAAUCUUUGAACGCACCUUGCACCCUUUGGCAUUCUGAAGGGUAUGCUCGUUUGAGUGUCAUUGUACUCUCACACUUCCGAUCUUGCAUUGGGAGCGGUGGACUUGGGUUUGCUGCCUUACCGUAGCUUACCUCAAAUGUGUUAGUGCAGCUCUUGGUUGGACAUAGUACGGCGUGAUAAGUAUCUUCGCCGGUGCCUCGCAAUUGCGAGGGUGGCCGAUCGGGAUGUUGUGCUCCAAACCGUCUUCGGACAAUCUCUGACAACUUGACCUCAAAUCGAGUAAGACUACCCGCUGAACUUAAGCAUAUCAAUAA
rnacentral:sRNA from 1 species